CAGUAGCCACGGGAAUACGAAGGGUGCAAGCGUUACUCGGAAUUACUGGGCGUAAAGCGUGCGUAGGUGGUGGUUUAAGUCCGUUGUGAAAGCCCUGGGCUCAACCUGGGAAUUGCAGUGGAUACUGGAUCACUAGAGUGUGGUAGAGGAUAGUGGAACUUCCGGUGUAGCAGUGAAACGCGUAGAGAUCGGAAGGAACAUCUGUGGCGAAGGCGACUAUCUGGGCCAACACUGACACUGAGGCACGAAAGCGUGGGGAGCAAACAGGAUUAGAUACCCCGGUAGUCCCUGUCUCUUAUAC
rnacentral:rRNA from 1 species